rnacentral:lncRNA from 1 species
GAGAAAUGACUUUAGAGAGAGAAAAUUCUAGAGAGAGAAAAUUCUAGAGAGAGAAAACUCAUCUUGAACUCCUCAGACGAUAUGAUUCAAUAAAUUUGAUCGAUCAGAUCAAAUCAUGCUAAGAUUAUCAUGUGGACAAUUCAAUAAGAUCAUGAGAAAUAAAAUCUAAAAAUACUUGAUCUGAUCAAAGUGGAUGUCGGUGUACCGUCCGACGAUCAUGGAUCAAAAAUCCAUCACGAAGAUCAUUUAAAUUCAUCAUCAUUCUUCUCAAAAUUUUAGAAAUCUUAGAAGAGAGAAAUAAUCUAGAGAGAGAAUUUUAGAGAGAGAAAGUAGAGAGAGAAAGUCCAAUUCUAGAGAGAGAAAAUAUUAGUUCAGAUUGAAG